rnacentral:misc_RNA from 1 species
CCUACCAUCCCCCGUUUUAACCCCAAAAGAUAGUUGAUUUCUAAAGAUACAUUAUUUGAACACCUUCUCUCCAUUUAUAGAACAUAUAUUGAAAAUUUCAAGUCUCUUACUUCAAAAACAUAGGACUUUCAUACAAACUGCCAACCCCCGUUUAUCCCCUUGAGGGUCGAGUUUCGUAAAAUCAAUUCUUAGCGGAUGUCUAUGCUCUAUAAGAAACCUACCUGCCAAAUUUCAAGUUUCUAGGUGUUAUAGUUUCGGAGAUUUCGUGAUGAGUGAGUCAACCUACCAUCCCCCGCUUUAACCCAAAAAAGGAGUUGAUUUCUAAAUAUACAUUAUUUGAACAUCUUCUCAUCGUUUAUAGAGCAUACAUUUUAAAUACCCUAGCAUCUUACUUCAAAAACAUAGAACUUUCAUACAAACUUCCAACCCCCGUUUUACCCCCUUAGGGGUCAAAUUCCGUAAAAUCCGUUCUUAGCGGAUGUCUACAACCUAUAAGGAGCCUAUCUGCCAAAUUUCAAGUUUUUAGGUGUUAUAGUUUCGGAGAUUUCGUGAUGAGUGAGUCAACCUACCAUCCCCCGAUUUGACCCCAAAUGGGAGUUGAUUUCUAAAGAUAUAUCUUUCGGACAUCUUCUCAUCAUCUACAGAGCAUACAUUUUAAAUUUCAAGUCUCUUACUUCAAAAACAUGGGACUUUCAUACAAACUUCCAACCUCCGUUUUACCCCCUUAGGGGUCGAGUUUCGUCAAAUCCAUUCUUAGCAAUAGAUUACGCCUUAUAAGGAGCCUACCUGCUAAAUUUCAAGUUUGUAAGCAUUAUAGUUUCGGAGAUUU